CCUACGGGAGGCAGCAGUGGGGAAUAUUGGACAAUGGGCGAAAGCCUGAUCCAGCCAUGCCGCGUGUGUGAAGAAGGUCUUCGGAUUGUAAAGCACUUUAAGUUGGGAGGAAGGGUUGUAGAUUAAUACUCUGCAAUUUUGACGUUACCGACAGAAUAAGCACCGGCUAACUCUGUGCCAGCAGCCGCGGUAAUACAGAGGGUGCAAGCGUUAAUCGGAAUUACUGGGCGUAAAGCGCGCGUAGGUGGUUUGUUAAGUUGGAUGUGAAAGCCCCGGGCUCAACCUGGGAACUGCAUCCAAAACUGGCAAGCUAGAGUACGGUAGAGGGUGGUGGAAUUUCCUGUGUAGCGGUGAAAUGCGUAGAUAUAGGAAGGAACACCAGUGGCGAAGGCGACCACCUGGACUGAUACUGACACUGAGGUGCGAAAGCGUGGGGAGCAAACAGGAUUAGAUACCCUGGUAGUCCACGCCGUAAACGAUGUCAACUAGCCGUUGGAAUCCUUGAGAUUUUUAGUGGUCGCAGCUACGACAUUAAGUUAGUACCGCCGUGGGAGGUACGGCCGCGAAGGUUAAACGUAACAAAUAGAAGUUAGUACGGCGUGAGACGUAGCCGAACGGACGACGACGAGGGAGGUUAGGG
rnacentral:rRNA from 1 species